GGGGCGUUUCGAGCGUAGAGCCACGCGGUGUAGUUCGGGCACCUGCUGCGUGGGGAGCGAGUGGUGCGACCGGCGAAACGGACC
rnacentral:ncRNA from 2 species